UACGUAGGUCCCGAGCGUUGUCCGGAUUUAUUGGGCGUAAAGCGAGCGCAGGUGGUUUAUUAAGUCUGGUGUAAAAGGCAGUGGCUCAACCAUUGUAUGCAUUGGAAACUGGUAGACUUGAGUGCGGGGGAGGAGAGUGGAAUUCCAUGUGUAGCGGUGAAAUGCGUAGAUAUAUGGAGGAACACCGGUGGCGAAAGCGGCUCUCUGGCCUGUAACUGACACUGAGGCUCGAAAGCGUGGGGAGCAAACAGG
rnacentral:rRNA from 1 species